rnacentral:sRNA from 1 species
AUGCGCCACUCGUACACUGCGCUUGUGGGCGCGCCCUCCACGUCCACCUGGCGACCACUCGCUUGCGUUGCGUCAGCC